UGCAAGUUCAACGGCAGUCAAACGACGA
rnacentral:piRNA from 1 species